UCCUCAUUGUCAGUGGUGAAGCUGCUGGAGG
rnacentral:piRNA from 1 species